rnacentral:rRNA from 1 species
CACGUAGGGGGCAAGCGUUGUCCGGAAUCAUUGGGCGUAAAGAGCUCGUAGGCGGCUCAGUAAGUCGGGUGUGAAACCCUCAGGCUCAACCUGGGGACGCCACCCGAUACUGCUGUGGCUAGAGUCCAGUAGGGGAGUGUGGAAUUCCCGGUGUAGCGGUGAAAUGCGCAGAUAUCGGGAGGAACACCAGCGGCGAAGGCGGGUCUCUAGACAGUUCCUGACGCUGAGGCACGAAGGUCAGGGGAGCAACGGG